rnacentral:rRNA from 1 species
AUUGAACGCUGGCGGCAGGCUUAACACAUGCAAGUCGAGCGGGGUGAUGGUGCUUGCACUAUCACUUAGCGGCGGACGGGUGAGUAAUGCUUAGGAAUCUGCCUAUUAGUGGGGGACAACAUCUCGAAAGGGAUGCUAAUACCGCAUACGUCCUACGGGAGAAAGCAGGGGAUCACUUGUGACCUUGCGCUAAUAGAUGAGCCUAAGUCGGAUUCGGUAGUUGGUGGGGUAAUGGCCUACCAAGCCGACGAUCCAUAGCUGGUUUGAGAGGAUGAUCAGCCACACUGGGACUGAGACACGGCCCAGACUCCUACGGGAGGCAGCAGUGGGGAAUAUUGGACAAUGGGGGGAACCCUGAUCCAGCCAUGCCGCGUGUGUGAAGAAGGCCUUAUGGUUGUAAAGCACUUUAAGCGAGGAGGAGGCUCUUUUGGUUAAUACCCAAGAUGAGUGGACGUUACUCGCAGAAUAAGCACCGGCUAACUCUGUGCCAGCAGCCGCGGUAA